rnacentral:rRNA from 1 species
GCAGUCGAGCGGAGAUGAGGUGCUUGCACCUUAUCUUAGCGGCGGACGGGUGAGUAAUGCUUAGGAAUCUGCCUAUUAGUGGGGGACAACAUUCCGAAAGGAAUGCUAAUACCGCAUACGCCCUACGGGGGAAAGCAGGGGAUCUUCGGACCUUGCGCUAAUAGAUGAGCCUAAGUCGGAUUAGCUAGUUGGUGGGGUAAAGGCCUACCAAGGCGACGAUCUGUAGCGGGUCUGAGAGGAUGAUCCGCCACACUGGGACUGAGACACGGCCCAGACUCCUACGGGAGGCAGCAGUGGGGAAUAUUGGACAAUGGGCGGAAGCCUGAUCCAGCCAUGCCGCGUGUGUGAAGAAGGCCUUUUGGUUGUAAAGCACUUUAAGCGAGGAGGAGGCUACUUAGAUUAAUACUCUAGGAUAGUGGACGUUACUCGCAGAAUAAGCACCGGCUAACUCUGUGCCAGCAGCCGCGGUAAUACAGAGGGUGCGAGCGUUAAUCGGAUUUACUGGGCGUAAAGCGUGCGUAGGCGGCUGAUUAAGUCGGAUGUGAAAUCCCUGAGCUUAACUUAGGAAUUGCAUUCGAUACUGGUCAGCUAGAGUAUGGGAGAGGAUGGUAGAAUUCCAGGUGUAGCGGUGAAAUGCGUAGAGAUCUGGAGGAAUACCGAUGGCGAAAGCAGCCAUCUGGCCUAAUACUGACGCUGAGGUACGAAAGCAUGGGGAGCAAA